UCCCCAGUGGCUCAGCGGUAAAGAAUCUGCCUGCAAUGCAGGAGAGAAAGGAGACUCAGGUUCGAUCCCUGGGUGGGGAA
rnacentral:tRNA from 1 species